rnacentral:rRNA from 1 species
AACAUAUCAAUAAGCGGAGGAAAAGAAACUAACAAGGAUUCCCCUAGUAACUGCGAGUGAAGCGGGAAGAGCUCAAAUUUGAAAUCUGGCAUUUGCCCGAGUUGUAACCUAGAGAAGCGUUUUCGGCCACUGCCUCGGACAAGUCCCUUGGAACAGGGCGUCAUAGAGGGUGAGAAUCCCGUCUGCCGAGCUACCAGUGUCUACAGAUACGCUCUCGAAGAGUCGAGUUGUUUGGGAAUGCAGCUCAAAACGGGUGGUAAACUCCAUCUAAAGCUAAAUAUUGGCGAGAGACCGAUAGCGAACAAGUACCGUGAGGGAAAGAUGAAAAGCACUUUGGAAAGAGAGUUAAACAGUACGUGAAAUUGUUGAAAGGGAAGCGCUUGGAGUCAGUCGCGUCUUCAGAGACUCAGCCGUCAAGGUGCACUUCUCUGUUGACGGGCCAGUAUCGAUUUCGGCCGCGGGACAAGGGCACGAGGAAUGUGGCAGCUUCGGCUGUGUUAUAGCCUCGCGUCGUAUGCCGCGGCUGGGAUCGAGGAUCGCCUUGCAGGAUAC